rnacentral:rRNA from 1 species
ACGCUGGCGGCAGGCCUAACACAUGCAAGUCGAGCGGUAGAGAGAAGCUUGCUUCUCUUGAGAGCGGCGGACGGGUGAGUAAUGCCUAGGAAUCUGCCUGGUAGUGGGGGAUAACGUUCGGAAACGGACGCUAAUACCGCAUACGUCCUACGGGAGAAAGCAGGGGACCUUCGGGCCUUGCGCUAUCAGAUGAGCCUAGGUCGGAUUAGCUAGUUGGUGGGGUAAUGGCUCACCAAGGCGACGAUCCGUAACUGGUCUGAGAGGAUGAUCAGUCACACUGGAACUGAGACACGGUCCAGACUCCUACGGGAGGCAGCAGUGGGGAAUAUUGGACAAUGGGCGAAAGCCUGAUCCAGCCAUGCCGCGUGUGUGAAGAAGGUCUUCGGAUUGUAAAGCACUUUAAGUUGGGAGGAAGGGUUGUAGAUUAAUACUCUGCAAUUUUGACGUUACCGACAGAAUAAGCACCGGCUAACUCUGUGCCAGCAGCCGCGGUAAUACAGAGGGUGCAAGCGUUAAUCGGAAUUACUGGGCGUAAAGCGCGCGUAGGUGGUUAGUUAAGUUGGAUGUGAAAUCCCCGGGCUCAACCUGGGAACUGCAUUCAAAACUGACUGACUAGAGUAUGGUAGAGGGAGGUGGAAUUUCCUGUGUAGCGGUGAAAUGCGUAGAUAUAGGAAGGAACACCAGUGGCGAAGGCGACCACCUGGACUGAUACUGACACUGAGGUGCGAAAGCGUGGGGAGCAAAC